AUUGAACGCUGGCGGCAGGCUUAACACAUGCAAGUCGAGCGAGCGGCGGACGGGUGAGUAAUGUCUGGGAAACUGCCUGAUGGAGGGGGAUAACUACUGGAAACGGUAGCUAAUAACGCAUACCAUCAGAUGUGCCAAGAUGGGAUUAGCUAGUAGGUGGGGGAAUGGCUCACCUAGGCGAUGAUCCCUAGCUGGUCUGAGAGGAUGACCAGCCACCGUGGAACUGCGCCACGCUCACACCUCCUACGGGAGGCAGCGGUGGGGAAGUUUGCACAAUGGGCGCAAUCCUGAUGCAGCCCUCCCGCGUGUGUGAAGAAGGCCUUCGGGUUGUAAAGCCCGUUCAGCGAGGAGGCGUUACUCGCAGAAGAAGCACCGGCUAACUCCGUGCCAGCAGCCGCGGUAAUAC
rnacentral:rRNA from 1 species